GGGAUCCAAGACAAACAAUAUUCUGUCCCCCGCUCAAUAACUCUUCAUUCCUGGCCUCUGGAGUGUGGAUUAAUCCUGAGUAACUCUCAAGGUCAAGCCCCCAUCAGUCAGAAUGACAACUUAAAUUGUAAGAAGUACAGAACAUCCCAUUCAAGAUGUCUAAUGAGCAGUUGGAUAGAAGACACUGGAGGGCAGCAGAGAGGCUAGGGCUGGAUAAAUGCAUCUCAGAAUGAUCAACAUAGAGAUGAGUGAAUGUUUGGGAGCUGAUGAGAUCACCAUCUGAAAUAGUAUGGAGAGUGAAGAGAAAAGAGCCUGGGCAGAGCUAUGUGGGAAAACUGGUUAAUGGCCAUGGUCUGGAUAAAGAGCCAACAAAAGGAACAGAGGAGUGGUGAGAUAGGAAGAGAACCAAAGGAGAGAAGAAUCCUGAAAAUCUAGAGAGAAGAGAACACCAAGGAGGCUAGAAUGAUCAACAGUAUCAAAAGCUUCAGAGAGAUCACGAAAGACGAGGUCUGAGAAAGACCAUUAGAUCUAGGAAUUAAGAAAUCAUUAGUAACUUUAAAAAGAGCAGUUUAGCUUGAAUUGUGAGGUUAGAAAACAGACUGUAGAGAAUUAUGAAGAAGGUAAAAGGAAAGGAGAGGCAUCUGUUGUAAAUGGCAUUCUCAAAGACUUUAGCCACAAAUGACAAAUGGGAAGAAAGCUAUGGAAUGAUAGGGAAAGGGGAUGGAAAGAUCAACUUUGAGCAUGAGGACACAUAAGCAUGUUUACAGGAAAUAGGGAAGCAGCCUCUCUCUGAGAGAGAGAGAGAGAGGGAGAGAGACAGAGAGAGAGUGAGACUGAAGAUAAGUGAAAGUGGGGAUAAAAGAAGGGGGCAAUCUGGAGAACAUGGAAUAGAAUAGGUAGAUGAAGAUGUUUUGACUUGGCAAGGAGAAUAACCACCUUAUUAUUUGAGAUUUGAUGACAGAGAGAUUGGCAGAGGUAAUCCAUGCUGAAUGACUUCCAUUUUUUCAGUGAACUAUGAGGUAGUGUUCUGGAGCCAUAGGAGUCUGAGGAGGAAUGAGAUUUAGUAGGGCAGUUGUAUGGAGUGUGACAGUGAGUUAAUUAGGGAGCUGCAAAAGAGUUGCUUUGCAGCAGUGAGGGCCUACAUCUCACCAUACACCAAGAUAAAGUCCAAAUGGGUACUAAGUCUAUAAAUAAAAGGUGAUACCACAAACAAAUUAGGGGAGCACAGAAACGUUUACCUGUCAGAGUUACAGUUAAAGGGAAGAAUUUAUGACCAAAGAAGACAUUGAGAACAUGACAAAAAAUGAAAUGGAUCAAGUUGAUUGCAUCAAAUUAAAAAAGGGUUGUACAAACAAAACCAAUGCAGCCAAGAUUAGAAGAAUUCUCCUCGGAUUCCUUUGAGAGCUGUGUUGGAACAAUAUCCCUAAAGCAAGCCGGCUUUAUGUCUCACUUUAUGUCCCCACCGUUAAGCAAUUUCUGGAAAUGACAAAUAAUGACUUUCCCAUUUCUGUUGGAAGAGUAAAGUAUGAGCUCCAUUAGAAGCAAUAACCUGGCAAGACCUUUUGGGAUCCUAAUCCAUCAUCCAGCCUGAUGACACAGGAGAGCAUUGAACUGAGUCAGAGGUUUUGUAUAU